UAGGGAAUCUUCCACAAUGGACGCAAGUCUGAUGGAGCAACGCCGCGUGAGUGAAGAAGGCUUUCGGGUCGUAAAACUCUGUUAUUGAAGAAGAACGUGUGUGACAGUAACUGGUCAUGCAGUGACGGUAUUCAAUCAGAAAGUCACGGCUAACUACGUGCCAGCAGCCGCGGUAAUACGUAGGUGGCAAGCGUUGUCCGGAUUUAUUGGGCGUAAAGCGAGUGCAGGCGGUCUUUUAAGUCUGAUGUGAAAGCCUUCGGCUUAACCGAAGAAGGGCAUCGGAAACUGGGAGACUUGAGU
rnacentral:rRNA from 1 species